ncrna:unclassified sequences Glutamine riboswitch
AUCGUUCAAUAUGCAUAUGCAUAUCGGAAGUAGGUUAAACCGAAGGAACGCGGA